CCGGGUAGAGGCCUAGUACUCACUGCUCUGUCCAACAGUAGAAAUCUCUGCGUUAGCAUGUCCUAACUGUGAAUUGCUGUCGCUUGUGUGAAGCUGUUCAAAAGGUAGAGAGUGAGCGCACAUCUCUUCGCUGUGAGGAGCUGCAACAUAAAGAAUCCCACCAAGAGGGAGAACCUUGUAUCUUUUUGAUAUUGGGUGAAAGGCACACUUGUGAAUAAAUUGUUCCAUGGCAAUUUUGGCAACUGACAACGUUCUUCUUCAGCGCAAACAACUGAUGUGACUGAUUUCAAGUUCGGAGUGGCCUUGAGGGAGUCUUUAGCAAUUGCUUUCCAUUGCAAGUCUCUGUCCGUCCCCAAUCUGAGUUGAAAUCUGAGUCCAAAUAAAAGCCUAUUGACUUGGUA